rnacentral:rRNA from 1 species
CGGAAUCUGCCUAUUUGUGGGGGAUAACGUAGGGAAACUUACGCUAAUACCGCAUACGACCUACGGGUGAAAGCGGAGGACCUUCGGGCUUCGCGCAGAUAGAUGAGCCGAUGUCGGAUUAGCUAGUUGGCGGGGUAAAGGCCCACCAAGGCGACGAUCCGUAGCUGGUCUGAGAGGAUGAUCAGCCACACUGGAACUGAGACACGGUCCAGACUCCUACGGGAGGCAGCAGUGGGGAAUAUUGGACAAUGGGCGCAAGCCUGAUCCAGCCAUGCCGCGUGGGUGAAGAAGGCCUUCGGGUUGUAAAGCCCUUUUGUUGGGAAAGAAAAGCAGUCGGUUAAUACCCGAUUGUUCUGACGGUACCCAAAGAAUAAGCACCGGCUAACUUCGUGCCAGCAGCCGCGGUAAUACGAAGGGUGCAAGCGUUACUCGGAAUUACUGGGCGUAAAGCGUGCGUAGGUGGUUUGUUAAGUCUGAUGUGAAAGCCCUGGGCUCAACCUGGGAAUUGCAUUGGAUACUGGCAGGCUAGAGUGCGGUAGAGGGUAGUGGAAUUCCCGGU